AACCAUUCUCACCUGCGGCUAGACCUGCGGAGGGAUCAUUACCGAGUUUACAACUCCCAAACCCCUGUGAACAUACCUAUACGUUGCCUCGGCGGAUCAGCCCGCGCCCUGUAAAACGGGACGGCCCGCCCGAGGACCCUAAACUCUGUUUUUAGUGGAACUUCUGAGUAAAACAAACAAAUAAAUCAAAACUUUUAGCAAUGGAUCU
rnacentral:misc_RNA from 1 species